rnacentral:lncRNA from 1 species
UAUUUGCGUUGCGAUGGCAUCAUUCUUCUCGGAGCCGGAGUGAAAUUGAAGUCGCGUGUUUGCAUUAGUUUUUUGAAUUGCUGUUGGGGCUGGGGCUGCGUGAUCGUCACUGGCGUCCUCCAGAGUGCCCACCGAUCGGAAAGUCGUACGAACCGCAAGCUUUGAACGUCUGUUUAUCGCAACAUCGAAAGCGGCGGCACAGAAGACGCGAUGUGAGCUCCGGUGGGAACAGCAGCCCUUUGUCUCGUAACGGAUGUUGCUAUCUCUACAAUAGCCGGAGAAGACGAAACAAGUUUUGCAAUGCACACGGACUGGCUCAGUUGUGAAUGUCACAAAUGCUCCCCUAACGAGGAUCAAAUCAAUGAAAGGAUGGCCUUGAUAAAUAAUAUUCAUGAGGCGAAGAGGAAGUACCCAUACAUGAUGAGCUUUGAGAGGUGACUUUGCAAGACUGACUAAGAUUGACCCAUCACCUUGUAUUGCAAAAGGGAUCAACAAAAUUGUGAAAAUGGCAGAAAUGAAACACAUCCCUUGCGAAGCAAGUGUAAUGGCAUCACUUCAAAAGGCUCGUGAGAUGUCACCGGAGAGGCUGCGAACACGACGACCCGAGCGUUCCUGCAACCUCUUGCAUCGUAUUUUCUGGAGAAGACGUUGAAGAGGCUGACCUCCACAUCAAGGUGGACCGCGAGAUGUUUGCAGUGAAAAAUGGGGAGGAGGGGCUGGCGGCUGUUUUAUCUGCUUACUGGCUCUUCAAUAAUUUCCAGUACGACCGCAAGCUGUUCAACACUCUUCUCGUGUUGGAGCGCCUUUUCCUUGGGCUCACAUUGAGUACCCCUAGAGUAGUGGCUACAAAGUUCUUGAACAAUGUUGCCAAAUGUGUGCCAUGUUUAAUGUGCUGAAGCUGUGCACUGUUACCUCAUCAUGAGUUUAGCUGUAAUUUUCAGAUGCAAGUUUUGUUUUGUCUAACCAUUUCUGCAAUACAUAUGAAGGAAGCCAACAGUCACCGAUAACAAGGCAAGCUUAUGGCAACGCUAUUCGUUUUUUUUAUUUGCAGUGUUAGUAGUUGGAAAUUAUUAGUGUAAUUAUUUUCAGAUGUGGUUAGUUAGGAUCCCACUGGCAGCAUGUGGUUUUCUGCUUUCUGAUCAUUUACCUGUCAGCCAUAAAAUGAUUACACUAACAAUUUUCUAUUGUCAGCACCACAAAUUGUUAAAACUUAGAAGCAUUCUCCAUGUGGGGCGUUCCUUGGUCUCGGUCACUGUUGGCAUUUUUCAUAUGCAUUACAGAAAGGGUUAAACUAUUCAACACUUUCUUAUCUAAAUGUUACAGGUAAACUGUCUUUUGUAUUACAUCAUUAGCUCUUUUUAACUUUCAAUAACUAAGCAAGAUUCUAGUCGUAAAAAAA